UGCCAUUAUGGGUGUAAAUUUCAUUCCCGGGCUACUAUACAGUCUCAAAGGCAACAUAACCAAUCUGGCGAAUUUCAAUUUCAAAUGUAACGUGCUAUAUUUGACCCUGUAACUUCCCAAAACGCCAUAAAACCUGUACAUAGGGGGUACUGUUUUACACGUGAGACUUUGCUGAAUACAAAUAUGUGUAUUUUAUUGCAGUAAAAGCAAACAGUAUUAUGACACUGACCGUUAAAAUGUCAUGUAGAACUAAAAAAAUCCAAAAAAAUCGUAUUUUCUCCCAUUUUUUUCAUAUUAAAUUAUGUUUCAUAGCUAAAUAUUUG